GCUCGACAUUAUGAGAAUGCUGAGUCGGUCAUCGUUCUGGUGAUGGAGAAGGAGAUCAUCGAGGGACGCGAUGACUGUAACAAGAUGGCACUAUACAUGCUGUUGGCUCCUCAACCACUGGUUGCUGUUGCUACUACUGCAUUUGCUAUUGUUGGAAGCUAUGCACUAUCUCCAUCAACACUUUCAUCUGCUGCAUCAAAACAAUGAGUUGGACAUCUAUAGUAACAACU
rnacentral:lncRNA from 1 species